AUGGCCCGCACUCUCUCCCUUCUGGGGGCAGUACCCGAAUGCAAGGAAUCUCCUCGGGCCAGCUAUCCGGCCCCCACUCAAGAGGCGGAGCCGGUGUGUGCUGAUCCAGCGAAGGAGGUGUCCUCAGAGCCCCUUUUUGUGCUACCGCAUCAAGGGAUACAAUUUAAGCCUUCCUCUCCUCUGAAGACCCACUGAGGGUGGAGCUCAGUCAGAGAGCUGUUGAGGGACUGGUUAGGAAGAACACUUCUACAGCCAGAGAGGUGAGAAGUCACACAUGGUUUAGAUGGUAAAUAUUUAUGUCCCCUUAGCGGUUCAUCACAUAAGCAAAAGGGAAUAUGUUCUAUCAUCUAUGUUUAUUUAAAAUAGUGCAAAUUGUCCACUGAUAUUGGUGUAAUUUCUCACCCCUUUUGGCUGUAUGAAAGUUAAUUUUCUUUCAGUCACACACAUUUGUUAUUUGAUAUUAUGAAGGUAAUUUGUGUAAAAUGUACUUUUCCCCAUCUCUUUAUAUUGCUGUUGCAUAUUCGGUGGCCUGACUGCAUCCAGACAAUGUCAAAAGCCCAUCCUGGUAGAUCUGAACCUAAUGCAGCUUGGAGUGAUCGGAUGACAGACAUCACAUUUAGGUGCCAGGUGUAACUGAGGCCAUAGAUGCUCCAUAUCCAUUAGUGUGUGUUUUAUAUAUUACUAAAUGUGUUUCUGUGUUGCAGGGGCAGUCAAAAGCAGAGCUGUGGGAGACCACCUCAAUCCCCUGGUAGAGCCGGAGGUGGUGUUUACCACUCCACCACACCUGCAGCAGGCUUGAAACGUGGGAUUGAUACUGAUUUUCAUACUAAGAGGGACCAAGAGUCUGUUGAUUGGUCAGUCAUUGGGUUCAUUUGUUGAAAUCAAAUCCAGCUUUAUUUAUACAGCACAUUUCAGACAUGGAUGCAACACAAUGGCUUCACAGGAAAAAACAAGUAAAGUAAUGAAAAGAAACAGAAAUAUUUAGUACACAACAAACAGAAGACUAACAACUGAAUGGGCACCCCAAGGAAAUGCCAUGGAUUAAAAUAUUAAUUGGAUGCAAUAUCCAACCCAAAAUACAAGCUUGUUGUUUUUUUAGGAGGGGCUCUGAAAGACUAUGGGAGUGUCCACUGAAUCUUGACAAGUAACAACAACUGGGACCGAAAAGACACCCACUAAAUCUGUCCAUGAAGAGGCAAACAAAAGAAAAACCCACAACAAACUUAGACAGGACGCAACCAAAAAGGUGGUUAAAAUAAUUUAUUACAAUCAAUACCAUUCAUACUAUUACAAAAUCAUAAUUCUCAUUCAUUCUUAAUUAAUUAUAUUUACAAAAACAUCAAACAAAAACAAACCUCAGGGGAGCAUCGUCCCUCCCCGUCAUACCUAACCAAUACCUAACCCUUUCCCUAUCUCCCCUUCCCUAAUCUAUCCCCUUMCCAAACUCACUCUAACACUCCCAGCCCUAAACCCCCUUUCCACCUCUCCCGUGCCGCAUGCUUCCCCCACUUCCUCUCCUCCCUCUUCAUCUUCCCCCUCAAAUCACCUU
ensembl:lncRNA